UACGUAGGGUGCGAGCGUUAAUCGGAGUACUGGGCGUAAAGCGUGCGCAGGCGGUUUUGUAAGACAGGCGUGAAAUCCCCGGGCUCAACCUGGGAAUGGCGCUUGUGACUGCAAAGCUGGAGUGCGGCAGAGGGGGAUGGAAUUCCGCGUGUAGCAGUGAAAUGCGUAGAUAUGCGGAGGAACACCGAUGGCGAAGGCAAUCCCCUGGGCCUGCACUGACGCUCAUGCACGAAAGCGUGGGGAGCAAACAGG
rnacentral:rRNA from 1 species